rnacentral:rRNA from 1 species
AGUGAACGCUGGCGGCGUGCUUAACACAUGCAAGUCGAACGAGAACGGAUUAUAGCUUGCUAUAAUUGUCAGCUAAGUGGCGCACGGGUGAGUAAUGUAUAGGUAAUAUGCCUCUUACUAAGGGAUAACAAAUGGAAACGCUUGCUAAUACCUUAUACUCCUUAUUAACAGAAGUUAAUAAGGGAAAGAUUUAUUGGUAAGAGAUUAGCCUGUAUUGUAUCAGUUAGUUGGUGGGGUAAUGGCUUACCAAGACUAUGACACAUAACUGGUUUGAGAGGAUGAUCAGUCACACUGGAACUGAGACACGGUCCAGACUCCUACGGGAGGCAGCAAUGGGGAAUAUUGCACAAUGGACGAAAGUCUGAUGCAGCAACGCCGCGUGGAGGAUGACACAUUUCGGUGCGUAAACUCCUUUUAUAUGAGAAGAUAAUGACGGUAUUAUAUGAAUAAGCACCGGCUAACUCCGUGCCAGCAGCCGCAGUAA